AGAGUUUGAUCAUGGCUCAGAUUGAACGCUGGCGGCAGGCCUAACACAUGCAAGUCGAACGGUAACAGAAAGCAGCUUGCUGCUUUGCUGACGAGUGGCGGACGGGUGAGUAAUGUCUGGGAAACUACCUGAUGGAGGGGGAUAACUACUGGAAACGGUAGCUAAUACCGCAUAACGUCGCAAGACCAAAGAGGGGGACCUUCGGGCCUCUUGCCAUCGGAUGUGCCCAGAUGGGAUUAGCUUGUUGGUGGGGUAACGGCUCACCAAGGCGACGAUCCCUAGCUGGUCUGAGAGGAUGACCAGCCACACUGGAACUGAGACACGGUCCAGACUCCUACGGGAGGCAGCAGUGGGGAAUAUUGCACAAUGGGCGCAAGCCUGAUGCAGCCAUGCCGCGUGUAUGAAGAAGGCCUUCGGGUUGUAAAGUACUUUCAGCGGGGAGGAAGGGAGUAAAGUUAAUACCUUUGCUCAUUGACGUUACCCGCAGAAGAAGCACCGGCUAACUCCGUGCCAGCAGCCGCGGUAAUACGGAGGGUGCAAGCGUUAAUCGGAAUUACUGGGCGUAAAGCGCACGCAGGCGGUUUGUUAAGUCAGAUGUGAAAUCCCCGGGCUCAACCUGGGAACUGCAUCUGAUACUGGCAAGCUUGAGUCUCGUAGAGGGGGGUAGAAUUCCAGGUGUAGCGGUGAAAUGCGUAGAGAUCUGGAGGAAUACCGGUGGCGAAGGCGGCCCCCUGGACGAAGACUGACGCUCAGGUGCGAAAGCGUGGGGAGCAAACAGGAUUAGAUACCCUGGUAGUCCACGCCGUAAACGAUGUCGACUUGGAGGUUGUGCCCUUGAGGCGUGGCUUCCGGAGCUAACGCGUUAAGUCGACCGCCUGGGGAGUACGGCCGCAAGGUUAAAACUCAAAUGAAUUGACGGGGGCCCGCACAAGCGGUGGAGCAUGUGGUUUAAUUCGAUGCAACGCGAAGAACCUUACCUGGUCUUGACAUCCACGGAAGUUUUCAGAGAUGAGAAUGUGCCCUCGGGAACCGUGAGACAGGUGCUGCAUGGCUGUCGUCAGCUCGUGUUGUGAAAUGUUGGGUUAAGUCCCGCAACGAGCGCAACCCUUAUCCUUUGUUGCCAGCGGUCCGGCCGGGAACUCAAAGGAGACUGCCAGUGAUAAACUGGAGGAAGGUGGGGAUGACGUCAAGUCAUCAUGGCCCUUACGACCAGGGCUACACACGUGCUACAAUGGCGCAUACAAAGAGAAGCGACCUCGCGAGAGCAAGCGGACCUCAUAAAGUGCGUCGUAGUCCGGAUUGGAGUCUGCAACUCGACUCCAUGAAGUCGGAAUCGCUAGUAAUCGUGGAUCAGAAUGCCACGGUGAAUACGUUCCCGGGCCUUGUACACACCGCCCGUCACACCAUGGGAGUGGGUUGCAAAAGAAGUAGGUAGCUUAACCUUCGGGAGGGCGCUUACCACUUUGUGAUUCAUGACUGGGGUGAAGUCGUAACAAGGUAACCGUAGGGGAACCUGCGGUUG
rnacentral:rRNA from 1 species